rnacentral:lncRNA from 1 species
UAAAAACAUAAAGAUAUCAAAGAGUUGGUUUUGGCUGAGUUGGAGUUGACCGCAUAACGGUUCUCAGAUUUUCCCUCUUUAUUGUGGCUUUCUUGUAGGUUGGACAAUAAAUUUACAAGCAUGAAGCUACUAUGUAUUUGAUCCAAAUUUAUAUCAUUGGAUAACAGAGAGAGACUACUGAAAGGGCUAAGGGGAACUUUCAGAUGAGACUCAGACAGUGAUCAGGGACAUCAAGUUACAAGCAUGCCAAACAGACGGUACAGUCCAUCAACUCUCAAUUACUUCCUCUUAGCUAGGACCCACCAUUACUGUUGGUUUGGCACCAGAGUCACUUUAUCAGUUUCUAGUCACAUUAACCCAUCACUCAUCUCCCCUCUGAAACAAAAGUCAUUUCUUAUAACAAAUAUGGAUAACCAAACAAAAUAAAUCAACACUUUGACCAUGUCUGAGAAUGCACAUGUCAUUCUGCAUCUCCUAUCUAUCUUAUCUCUGCCAAGAAGUGGUAAGUAGAUUUUUUUCAUUAAAAAAAAAUUAAAUCCUUAUUUUCUGACUUAGUAACAACUCUAAGACAUAAGGGCAAGGGUUAGGCAAACAGGAUUAAAUAACUUGCCUAAGGUCAUAUAGAUAGUAUUUGAGGUCAGAUUUGAACCCAGGUACUCCUAACUCUUGUCCUGCACUCUAUCUAUUCACCAUGUUGCCUGGGUGCCUUCACAAGUACAAUUGACCAAUUUACAAUUGGUCACUGCUUUGAUCAGAGUUCCAGGAGUCUUUCAGAGUUAUUUUCCUUCACAUUAUUCACUAUAUUCAUUAUAUAAAUUCUCUCUUUGAUCUUAAUUUUAUUCUGCACAAGUUCAUAUAAAUCUUCCCAUGUUUCUCUGAUUCUGUCAUUUUUGUCAUUUCUUCUGGGGCAAAAUUUCAUUUUAUUCACGAACAUGUUCUUUCAGCCAUUCCCUAAUUUAUAGGCACCAUUCUCUCUACACCUAGUUCUUCACUUCAACAAAAAGUGCUGUUGUAUUCCCUUAUCAUGUGUUUUCCUUCUGUCCUUGACUUCAUUGAGAUAUAUGCCUUAGAGUACUAUCACUGAAUCCAAAAGAUAUGGACAGUUAAGACUUUUGCAGAAGUUCAAAUUGUUUUCCAGAGUGCUUAGACCCAGUGACAAGGCAUUGAUAUUUCUGUCUUCCCACAAACUCUCCAACAGUUGCUGUUUUUCUCAUUUAUUAUCUUUGUCAAUCUGAUGGGUAUAAGGUAUAUAUUAUUAUUAGAAUUAUUUCAAUUUCAUUUAUUAUUCUUUAUUUGAAGCAUUAGUCUUCUGUUUGUUCUGUGAUUCAUUCUGUAACAUAAUAAAGUAACAACACUAGUCA